AGUGAACGCUGGCGGUAGGCCUAACACAUGCAAGUCGAACGGCAGCACAGAGGAGCUUGCUCCUUGGGUGGCGAGUGGCGGACGGGUGAGGAAUACAUCGGAAUCUACUCUGUCGUGGGGGAUAACGUAGGGAAACGUACGCUAAUACCGCAUACGACCUACGGGUGAAAGCAGGGGAUCCUCGGACCUUGCGCGAUUGAAUGAGUCGAUGUCGGAUUAGCUAGUUGGCGGGGUAAAGGCCCACCAAGGCGACGAUCCGUAGCUGGUCUGAGAGGAUGAUCAGCCACACUGGAACGGAGACACGGUCCAGGCUCCUACGGGAGGCAGCAGUGGGGAAUAUUGGACAAUGGGCGCAAGCCUGAUCCAGCCAUACCGCGUGGGUGAAGAAGGCCUUCGGGUUGUAAAGCCCUUUUGUUGGGAAAGAAAUCCAUCUGGUUAAUACCCGGGUGGGAUGACGGUACCCAAAGAAUAAGCACCGGCUAACUUCGUGCCAGCCGCCGCCGUAA
rnacentral:rRNA from 1 species